rnacentral:rRNA from 1 species
AUACGGAGGGUGCAAGCGUUAAUCGGAAUUACUGGGCGUAAAGAGCGCGUAGGCGGUUUGGUCAGUCGGAUGUGAAAGCCCCGGGCUUAACCUGGGAACUGCAUUCGAUACUGCCCGACUAGAGUAUGGUAGAGGGUAGUGGAAUUCCCGGUGUAGCGGUGAAAUGCGUAGAUAUCGGGAAGAACACCAGUGGCGAAGGCGGCUACCUGGACCAAUACUGACGCUGAGGCGCGAAAGCGUGGGGAGCAAACAGGAUUAGAAACCCCAGUAGUCC